AGGGAUGCACCUUACUUUAAGUAGGGCUAAAGGAAGGAGACUUACUUAAUUUACACUGUUUUUUUAAGAUUAAUUUUGUAGGAGUGUUUUUUAGGGUGUGGUUCAUGCGUUCUACUUGUCUGGAGCUCCGGGGUUGAUAAGCACAAUGGAGCUUCUGUUGAAUGUUUAACACCUUACUGACUGACUGACUGAGCUAUAGGCGAGGGGAAGGCUGGUCUAUUAUCAGAGUUUAUGGCAGCAGACAGCCUAUAUUGAGGGAUGAUUUCAUUGGGUAAAAACUUAACUACUGUGUUGGUGGUUUCGUUUUUGGUAGCAAAUGCCUUAGUCUAUCUGGAGAAGGUGUCUACUAGUACUAGAAGGUAUUUGUACUUAGCCUGGUGUGGUUUGACUUCUCUAAACUGAAUUUCUUACUUUUUUCUUGGCGAGUUUUUUCAGAGACAGUGGCCUGGGCUGGGUUUAGGACUUUGUUUGGCAUUUACUUGGGCGCAGGUUGUGCACUGGAGAGCUGCUUAAUCUCUUAGGCUAUGAAGAUGGGGGAUCUUAAAAUGCCUCCGGAGGAGCUGAGGUAACUUUGCUCUUCUUAAAUGGGUGGUAGACUGUAGGUAACUGGUUUAAGUUCAGGGUAUGAAGAUUCCAGAGUCAGGAAGAAUCUACUAACUUUCCUGAUUUUUAUUGGCUCUGAGAUCUGAAGCCAGUUUUUCUGUUGUUGUUGAGUAUACGGGAUUGUCAGGCAGAUCUGGCUGUGGAAAGGAGACUGUGGGCAGCAAGUUUGGAGGCAUGACUGAAAGUCUGGCAGCGACCUGAGCUGCUGAAUCAGCUUUCUGGUUACUAUGGGCAACGGCCGUGUUUUCUUUUUGAUGUCCUUUGCAGUGGAUCACAGCUACCUGCUGAGACAGACAAGGGGAGGGGAUCCAGCGAUGGGAUCAGUCAGAUGCCUGCCUGGCCGCUCCCCGUGAGGGGACUUGGGCUCCUCUUAGCAUUGGCAGGCCGGUAUAAACUUCCGGCUCAGAUCGAGCUAUGCCUGAUGCUGCCUUAAGCCUUAUGAGGUCGCCAUGGAACCGCAGGUGAGGGUCUACUUGAACUCCGUAGCUUUCGCUGUGGAGCUACAAACUGGAGGACAAGCGCAAGCCCUUGUCCUCCCUCAUUCAUUCAUUAUUCACAAAGAGUUUAUAACAGUUUUUUUUCUUUCUUGGAGAUUCUUCAAGAAACUUGAACAAGAGAAAGAUGAGAGAUAGAAAAAGAGAGAGAGAGAGUGACCGGUCUGCCAGAAACCAGGACUCAGUCCUCCAGCAUCCUGGGAUGUGGACUGAGUCAAGGGAGGUCCCCUGUCAGGGCUACUUCCCUCCUAGAAAGAGACACAGAAGUGCCUAACAGAAAACCAGGGCUCUACCUUCCAGCGUCCUAGAGAAACGGGCAGAGUCAAAAGAGGGACACCCUCAUCAGGGCCGCUUCCCUCUUACAAGAACUGAAGUCAAAUCUGACCUACCUGACCUCGGGGUCAGAAGUCGAGGACUCAGAGGUGGAAUUUUUAUGGGCACCCACACGGUAGUCGAUCCGCUCUCCUCUGGAAGACGGUCACCUUUCGGGGACCUGAAAAUUUUUUUUUAGGUGACACCCCCCCUACAAGCCGGCCGUCCUUCCGGGGGAGCCCGGAGCGAGCCCGGCUCUCGCCUGGUGGUGUUUCUCACUCGGGCCUCCAAAUGUUGUACUUGAGCGAGUUAGAGAAAAUGCCACAAUUUGACAUGAAUUAAGUCUGUUUAUUUAGCUGGUGGCCAAGAGAUGGCUAACUCUUAAAGUUCUCUUGGCCCCGAAGAAGGGGCUAGAUUUUCUUUUAUACUUCAGUUUAGAAAGGGGAAAGGGGUGUAGUUAAAAGAAUUUUACAGAAGUAAAGUAGGCAAAAAAGUUAAAAGGAUAAAUUGUUACAGGAAAGUAAACAGAUCUAGGUCUAAGGGCUUUAAGACUAUUACAAAGUGAUAGACGUGGGGCUUUAGGCAUUAUCAAUCGGACAAAUUCCUGGGAACUGCGGAUAUUGCUCGCCACAGUAUCUUAUCAGUUAAUUGCACUCUUAGAUGUGCUAAGAGUCAGCUUGCACAAGUUAAGUCCUUGAGGAAGGGGCUGCCAGUGAAAAAGCCAAGAUAAAGUCUGUCUAGCUCUCUUAGCUAAAAGAAAGUCAAUUCAGGUAGAAACAAGGCUAAGGGAAUAAAAGAAAAGGAAAGUCUACGAACAAAGUUAAUAAAAACAAGGUUAGGCAUUACAGAUGGGGUCAUCCUUAUAUUCAGCACAGUGUUUGUCCUGAAACUUCAAUGGAGUGCUCCUAGUUUGAUAACUUGGACCAUGCCAAAUAAAUUGAAUUUCUCUUUCUUAACAACAGAUGUUUGAAUACAGCCCCGUGUCCCUCUCUGCUCCUUCCUGCCUUCCUCCUCUCCUCUUCCUUCCCUCCCUUUUCAAGAGCAGGGUUUGCAAGCUUUUACUUGAAAGCAUCAGAUAGAUAGUAAAUAUUUUAGACUUCGUGGGCCAUACAGUCUCUUGUAGUAGUUACUCAACUCUGUCACCCAUAGAAUGAAAGCAGCUGAUAUAGGUUGAAUAUGUGUCCCCUCCCAAAUCUCAUGUUGCAAUGUAAUCCCCAGUGUUAGAGGUGGGGCCUGGUGGGAAGAGAUUGGAUCACGGGGGUGGAUUUCUCAUGAAUGAUUUAGCGUCAUCCUUUUGGUCCUGUCCUUGCAACAGUGAGUGAGUUCUUGCAAGAUCUGGUUGUUUACGAGUGUGUAGCACCUCCCUCCUUACUCUCUUGCUCCCACUUCAGCUUCUGCCAUGAUUGUAAGUUUCCUGAGGCCUCCACAGAAGCUCAGUAGAUGUCAGUGUCAUGCUCCCUGUACAGCCUACAAAACUGUGAGCCAAUUAAACCUCUUUUCUUUAUACAUUACCCAGUCUCAGGUAUUUUUUAUAGCAUGAGAGAACAGCCUAAUCCAGCAGCCAUAGACAAUAUGUAGCAAAUGGACAUGGCUGUGUUUCAAUAAAACUUUAUUGACAAAAACAUGUGCAGGCAGGUCAGAUUUGGCCCAUGGGCCAUAGUGUCCCAACCUCUGCUCUGGAAUAUUCUCUUUAGCCUGGAUGGACAUCUCUAGGUUUUUUUUUUUUUUUUUGGUGAGAAAAAGUCUCACUGUUGCCCAGGCUGGAGUGCAGUGUUGCAAUCUUUGUUUGCCACAACCUCUGCCUCCUGGGUUCAAGCAAUUCUCCUGCCUCAGCCUCCCAAGUAGCUGGGAUUACAGGCACCUGCCACCACACCUGGCUAAUUUUUGUAUUUUUUAAUAGGAGAUAUAGGAGAUAAUUCUGCGAACAGAAAUUCCUGAGAACUGAGAUGGGGGAAAUCGCUGGUAUUAGAAGGGUGAAAAGGUCAGUAAUUAAGGCUACGACUGUGCUCUUAGAGGCAAAAGAAGAAAAUGAGACUGCCAGGCAUGAAUAAUGAGAAAUCUUUGAUGGAAUUAGCCAUGCAGAACAGAUACUAAAUGCAUCCUCAUUCUUCUCAUAGUCAAAAGUUUUUGCUGAAGCUGGAUGGGAAAAAGAGAAUCCCAUUUGACUAAGUAUAAAAGAGGGGAUUUUAGAGAAGGUCUCAGAAGAAAGAGAUGUGGGGGUUUGGUGAAACUCACCAGAGGCUGAACCCUCUCCAGCAUAACACAGGGAUUGGGAGGAGCGGGGUGGCAUUAGGCCAGGUGCAUAGCCCAGUGCUGCUCUCUCUGGACUUUCUGCUCUCUCUGGACUUGUUUGCUAGCUGAGCUCAUCCAUUUGCAUAAUUUUCAGUGCCAUUUCUCAGCUGAUGAGUCCUGAACUUUUGUCUUGAGGCUAGACUUCUCCUUCAAACAGCAGUCUUAAACACUCAACUUCUUUCUUGUUUUUUCCACUUGUCAACUCAUGAAAACCUCAACCUUGUUAAAUCCAAAGCCAAACUCAUGGCUUGGAGUGGUAGGUGAUGGCUGUAAUGCCAGUGCUAUGGGAGGCUGAGGUGGGAGGAUUACUUGAGGUCAGGAGUUUGAAGCCAGCUUGGAAAACACAGUGAGACUCCCUAACUAUAAAAAAAAAAUAAAAAAAAAAAAAAAGAUAGGCAUGGUGAAGUGCAUCUGUAGGAUCUGUAGUCCUGUUACAUGGCAGGCUGAGGCAGGAGGAUCACUUGAGCCCAGGAGUUUGAGGCUGCAAAGAGCUAUGAUUGCACCAAUGCACUCCAGCCUGGGUGACAGAGCCAGAGUCCCUGUCUUAAAAAAAAAACAAAAUCAAAACUCUUUUUCCUCCUCCUUCUCCAUGGGCUCUGUCCGUGCCAUCUCUGUUCUGUAAAUGGCUCCACCCCCUGCUGAGCUGCUCAAGGUAGUCAUAACUCAUGUGCUGUGCUAACUCUACUUUUGCCCUCUUCUCCAGUCAGAAGUCCUCUGAUUCUAAACUUUAUCCAACUUGUCCACUCUCUCUAUCUUCACUGUCAUUAUCUUUGCCUAGGACACCGCUAUCCCAGCUGGGCUACAGCGGCAGCCUCCUAACUGGUCUUAACUGGUCCUCUGCACCUGCUCUCCAUGCUCAGCAAUCCAUUUCCUACCUAGCAGCUUCAGUGAUCUUAAGGUGUCCAUUGAGUCUCUUUCCUGCCCAUGGCACAUAGAAUAAAAUCGAGACCCCGAGUCUUCUGCCUGUUCCUACCAUCUCUCCAGCUCUCUCCUAUCUCCUCCCCUUGGCCUACUCUAUUUCAGCCACUCUGUCCUCCUUUUGUUGUCUUCGACUUUCAAACCUUUCUCCACUACUGGGCCUUUGCAUUUGCUGCUUCAGCCUGGAAUGAUUUUCCUCUGCACCUCCCCAAAUUAGACCAUCCUUUAGGUCUCAGCUAAAAUGGUGCUUCCAGACAGCUCUUUCCUAACCCCUUUAUAAAGUGGACUUCCCUGCUCGUCUCCACCUUAACCUCAUUAUUUCUUGUUGUGGGAACUCAGGGACCCCAAAUGGAGGGACUGGCUGGAGCUGUGGCAGAGGAACAUAAAUUGUGAAGAUUUCAUGGACAUUUAUCAGUUCCCAAAUAAUACUUUUAUAUUUUCUUAUGCCUGUCUUUAUUUUAAUCUCUUAAUCCUGUUAUAUUCAUAACCUGAGGAUGUACAUCACCUCAGGACCACUGUGAUAAUUGUGUUAACUGUACAAAUUGAUUGUAAAACAUGUGUGUUUCAACAAUAUGAAAUCAGUGAACCUUGAAAAAGAAGAGAAUAACAGCAAUUUUUAGGGAACAAGGGAAGACAACCAUAAGGUCUGACUUCCUGCAGGGUUGGGCAAAAAGAGCCAUAUGUUUCUCCUUGCACAGAGUCUAUAAAUGAACGUGCAAGUAGGACAGAUAUUGCUAAAUUCUUUUCCUAGCAAGGAAUAUUAAUAUUAAUACCCUGGGAAAGGAAUGCAUUCCUGGGGGGAGGUCUAUAAAUGGCCGCUCUGGGAAUGUCUGUCUUAUUCAGUUGAGAUAAGGACAGAGAUACGCCCUGGUCUCCUGCAGUACCCAAAGGCUUACUAGGGUGGGGAAAAACUCUGCCCUGGUAAAUUUGUGGUCAGACUGGUUCUUUGCUCUCGAACCCUGUUUUCUUUUGUUUAAGAUGUUUAUUAAGACAAUACGUGCACCACUGAACAUAGACCCUUAUCAGUGGUUCUGCUUUUGCCCUUUGCUUUGUGAUCUUUGCUGGACCUUUAUCAGUAGUUCUGCUUUUGCCCUUUGUCCUGUUCCCUCAGAAGCAUGUGAUCUUUCUUAGACCCUUAGUAGUAGUUCUGCUUUUUGCCCUUUGAAGCAUGUGAUCUUUGUACCUACUCCCUGUUCUUACAGCCCCUCCCCUUUUGAAACCCUUAAUAAAAACUUGCUGGUCUGAGACUCAGCAGGCAGCACAGACUUACUGAUAUGUAAUGUCACUCCCAGCGGCCCAGCUGUAAAAUUCCUCUCUUUGCAGUGUCUCUCUUUAUUUCUCGGCUGGUUGACACUUAUGGAAAAUAGAAAGAACCUACGUUGAAAUAUUGGGGGCAGGUUCCAUCAAUACUUCUUUCAUGGAUUUACUUAUUUUUUGUCUCCCUCCUUACCCUAGAAACUCCUGGAGGGCAGAGCUGUGUCUGCCAUCUUCAUCAUUGCAUUACCACCACCCAGCACAGUGCCUGGCACAAAAGAGUUGCUCAAUAAAUAAAUCAGGAUGAAUGGAUAAAUACAUGGAUAGGCACUUUGAACUACAGAUGAGUUUAAAUACUUUGUGUUUUUCUUAGUCAAACAUGUGCAAUUAAGCAUGUGAUAAAUGAUAUGAUGACCGCA